rnacentral:rRNA from 1 species
AGGACGAACGCUGGCGGCGUGCUUAACACAUGCAAGUCGAGCGGAAAGGCCCUUCGGGGUACUCGAGCGGCGAACGGGUGAGUAACACGUGAGUAAUCUGCCCCUAGCUCUGGGAUAGCUCCGGGAAACCGGGAUUAAUACCGGAUACGACCACUUUAGACAUCUGUUGUGGUGGAAAGAAUUUUGGCUAGGGAUGAGCUCGCGGCCUAUCAGCUUGUUGGUGGGGUAACGGCCUACCAAGGCGACGACGGGUAGCCGGCCUGAGAGGGCGACCGGCCACGACUGGGACUGAGACACGGCCCAGACUCCUACGGGAGGCAGCAGUGGGGAAUAUUGCGCAAUGGGCGAAAGCCUGACGCAGCGACGCCGCGUGGGGGAUGAAGGCCUUCGGGUUGUAAACCCUUUCAGCAGGGACGAAGCGAAAGUGACGGUACCUGCAGAAGAAGCGCCGGCUAACUACGUGCCAGCAGCCGC